UACGUAGGGGGCAAGCGUUGUCCGGAAUCAUUGGGCGUAAAGCGCGUGUAGGCGGCCCGAUAAGUCCGCUGUGAAAGUCCAGGGCUCAACCCUGGAAUGCCGGUGGAUACUGUCGGGCUAGAGUCCGGAAGAGGCGAGUGGAAUUCCUGGUGUAGCGGUGAAAUGCGUAGAUAUUGGGAGGAACACCGGUGGCGAAGGCGGCCCCCUGGACCGGUACUGACGCUGAGGCGCGAAAGCGUGGGGAGCAAACAGG
rnacentral:rRNA from 1 species